GACGAACGCUGGCGGCGUGCCUAAUACAUGCAAGUAGGACGCAGUUGCGAACGGGUGAGUAACGCGUAGGUAACUGCCUAUUAGAGGGGGAUAACUAUUGGAAACGAUAGCUAAUACCGCAUACUAGUAGAUGGACCUGCGUUGUAUUAGCUAGUAGGUAGGGUAAUGGCCUACCUAGGCGACGAUACAUAGCCGACCUGGGGGGGUUGUGGGCCACAAUGGGACGGGGACACGGGCCAAAAGCCUACGGGAGGCAGCAGGAGGGAAAUUUCGGAAAAGGGGGGAAAGCUGACCGAGCAACGCCGCGUGAGUGGAGAAGGUUUUCGGAUCGGAAAGCUCUGUUGUUAAGGGAGCGGUACUUAACGAGAAAGGGACGGCUAACUACGUGCCAGCAGCCGCGGUAAUAC
rnacentral:rRNA from 1 species